AGCUGGUCCAAUGGUAGUUGGUAAUCAAAACUUAUUAACAUUAUUAACUUAUAACACUAAAGUUGGUAUACAAUCCCCCACUGCUAAAUUUUACUGGCUUUAA
ensembl:misc_RNA Y_RNA Y RNA